AUUGAACGCUGGCGGCAGGCUUAACACAUGCAAGUCGAGCGGAGAGAGGUAGCUUGCUACUGAUCUUAGCGGCGGACGGGUGAGUAAUGCUUAGGAAUCUGCCUAUUAGUGGGGGACAACAUUUCGAAAGGAAUGAUAAUACCGCAUACGUUCUAAGGGAGAACGCAGGGGUUCUUCGGACUUUGCGCUAACAGAUGAGCCUAAGUCGGAUUGGCUAGUUGGUGGGGUAAAGGCCUACCAAGGCAACGACCUGUAGCGGGUCUGAGAGGAAGAUCCGCCACACUGGGACUGAGACACGGCCCAGACUCCUACGGGAGGCAGCAGUGGGGAAUAUUGGACAAUGGGCGGAAGCCUGAUCCAGCCAUGCCGCGUGUGUGAAGAAGGCCUUAUGGUUGUAAAGCACUUUAAGCGAGGAGGAGGCUACUUUAGUUAAUACCUAGAGAUAGUGGACGUUACUCGCAGAAUAAGCACCGGCUAACUCUGUGCCAGCAGCCGCCGUAACAC
rnacentral:rRNA from 1 species